rnacentral:pre_miRNA from 1 species
AUUGUACUCCCUCCGUCCCGAAAUACUUGUCAUCAAAAUGAAUAAAAGGGGAUGUAUCUAGACGUAUUUUAGUUUUAGAUACAUCCCUUUUUAUCCAUUUUGAUGACAAGUAUUUUCGGACGGAGGGAGUAACAA